rnacentral:rRNA from 1 species
UACGUAGGUGGCAAGCGUUGUCCGGAUUUAUUGGGUUUAAAGGGUGCGUAGGCGGUCCUAUAAGUCAGUGCUGAAAUAUCCCGGCUUAACCGGGAGGGUGGCAUUGAUACUGUAGGACUUGAGUAAAGUUGAGGUUGGCGGAAUUGACGGUGUAGCGGUGAAAUGCUUAGAUAUCGGGAGGAACACCGGUGGCGAAGGCGGGUCUCUGGGCCGUAACUGACGCUGAGGAGCGAAAGCGUGGGGAGCGAACAGG